UCACUGUAGGAAUCUCAAAUUCUUUUUCUUAGGAAUCUUUGGCAGCUGAGAUUGAGGGGACCAUGCGUAAAAAGCUGAGCUUGGAUGAGGAAUCUUCUGUCUUUAAACAAAAAGCCCAACAGAAACGGGUGUUUGAUACUGUCAGGAUUGCCAAUGACACACGGGGCCGCUCUGUCCCAUUCCCAGCUCUGCUGUCCAUUCCAGGCUCCAACCAUUCAAGUGUCAUCAUGACAGCAAAACCUUUUGAGUCUGGUUUACAACAAGCAGAG